UCCGAAGCAAGAGGUUUGGACGAUACAGCUGGAGACAGGCUGUCACCCAACGAAGUCCCACUCACCUAUUCCCCAAAACUACGUUCUUCCUUAAUUUUUCUCCCCUCUCUCUCUCUAUCUGGAAUCUUGAUUUCUACUUUGCGAACCAGUUUUAGGGUUUCUCGAUCCCUUUUAUUCGAUUCUCCGUUUCGUCUACCGACCUCGGCGGAUCAAGAUUCUUCUCUUUGUUCCUGGACAAAUAAUUAAAGUUUGAGCUAAUCCUUCAAGUUAGUGGUUGAAACAGCAGUCUAAAUUUGACAUUUGUAAGUUUUGAAUCAGUUUUUUACUUUAAAUACAUGAAUAUGGUAGACGGGCAAGAAG